rnacentral:rRNA from 1 species
GACGAACGCUGGCGGCGUGCUUAACACAUGCAAGUCGAACGGAAAGGCCCUGCUUUUGUGGGGUGCUCGAGUGGCGAACGGGUGAGUAACACGUGAGUAACCUGCCCUUGACUUUGGGAUAACUUCAGGAAACUGGGGCUAUACCGGAUAGGAGCUCCCGCUGCAUGGUGGGGGUUGGAAAGGUUCGGCGGUUGGGGAUGGACUCGCGGCUUAUUAGCUUGUUGGUGGGGUAGUGGCUUACCAAGGCUUUGACGGGUAGCCGGCCUGAGAGGGUGACCGGCCACAUUGGGACUGAGAUACGGCCCAGACUCCUACGGGAGGCAGCAGUGGGGAAUAUUGCACAAUGGGCGGAAGCCUGAUGCAGCAACGCCGCGUGCGGGAUGACGGCCUUCGGGUUGUAAACCGCUUUCGCCUGUGACGAAGCGUGAGUGACGGUAAUGGGUAAAGAAGCACCGGCUAACUACGUG